rnacentral:lncRNA from 1 species
GCACUGUUCUGACGCUCUUCUCGCCGCCGAUGGAGGAUGGACCUGAAGGACUCAAAGAAGCUGGAAUACGCUCGUGAAGACGAAGCACAGACAUUUGCAGAAAAUGAAGUGGACGAGGAAGCAGUAGUGUAAUAACGUGAUUCCUGCAAUUGGUGAGGAUGCAUCAUCUUUUGAGGGUAAUGCGAAUGUCCUGCGUAUCCAGUGAAAUAAGUCAUGGUGAACCUGACUGAAUGCAUUCAUCAACCAUCUCCAACCAAGUCAGAGCUUCAAGGGCAGCUUGUGCUUAAGGUGCCUGAGCUUGAUUAAGAAAAAAAGCAUCUCCACUGGCCAAAGUCUACAAAAAAGCAGGAGAAUAGAAGUUUGCUGAUGAUCUAACAGGUGGUGCAGUGGGUAGCACGAUCGCCUCACAUCAAGAAGGUUGCUGGUUCGUGACUCUGCUGGGUCAGUUGGCAUUUCUGUGUGGAGUUUGCAUGUUCUUGCAUGUUGACGUGGGUUUCCUCCAGGUGCUCCGGUUUCCUCCACAAGUCCAAGUCCAACAAGUCCAAAGACGUGCUACAGGUGAAUUGGUGGGAUGAUGAUGAUGCUCCCUACCCACCUCUACAGAUGGUUGAAAGUCCUUUGCAAAGUGUUGGAGAAUAGGAGUUAAAAGGCAUUAUUACAUCCUUCACCGUUUACUGUGUUUUCAACUUGGCUUAUCCACGCUACAUAAAGAAUGCAAAGGAUGAACAUCAGCAACUCCCCGAGAUGGAACAACAAUUUAAAUUUGAACAUCAGCAACGGUGUGAAGAUGGAGAUCCAAAAUUACAAGAAAAACAACUCAGUGCAGCUGUCCGAGAGAACUGGUAUUGCUGGGUCUGCAUCAAACAGCAAUGCUUGGAUCUUUGCAUUUACUUUUUUGCAUGCGUUUCGAGUCUGCAUCAGUAU